rnacentral:rRNA from 1 species
GACGAACGCUGGCGGCGUGCUUAACACAUGCAAGUCGAACGGAAAGGCCCUGCUUUUGUGGGGUGCUCGAGUGGCGAACGGGUGAGUAACACGUGAGUAACCUGCCCUUGACUUUGGGAUAACUUCAGGAAACUGGGGCUAAUACCGGAUAGGAGCUCCUGCUUCAUGGUGGGGGUUGGAAAGUUUCGGCGGUUGGGGAUGGACUCGCGGCUUAUCAGCUUGUUGGUGGGGUAGUGGCUUACCAAGGCUUUGACGGGUAGCCGGCCUGAGAGGGUGACCGGCCACAUUGGGACUGAGAUACGGCACAGCCUACUACGGGAGGCAGCAGUGGGGAAUAUUGCACAAUGGGAGGAAGCCUGAUGCAGCAACGCCGCGUGCGGGAUGACGGCCUUCGGGUUGUAAACCGCUUUCGCCUGUGACGAAGCGUGAGUGACGGUAAUGGGUAAAGAAGCACCGGCUAACUACGUG